GAGUCAGAUGCGCUACCGUUGCGCCACGAGGCCACCGGGGUGAUCAUGUUUUACUGGCUACCAACCUGAUCUGAGGAACCGGUUUUCAGCGCCCGGUGAAGACCAGACAGCCGGGGCCCUUAAUAAACAAGCGUGCGCUUUUCCUCCCCUGCCUCCCAGGGUCGCUGACCAGGCCCGGCAGUCCCUCAGCGUCAGAUGCCCAGAGCUGAAAGGGGACCUGAAAAGCGGGAAGCCUGGUCUGCAGGAGCGAGUGGGAUCGCAGCGAUAUUCAUACCUACCGUGUACCAGGCCUGUUCCUUCAGUUCAGAAGCCUUCUCAGCAGUGUGAGAGUGGGCUCCAGGCACAGUGAUUUCCAGUGGACAGAGGAAGUCAGAGCGCUUGUAAAGGCUCAGGCAUCCCCCAGACCGUUGCACAGCCUGAAACUCCAUCUCUGUUUGCUUCCACAAGAGUAUGUACUGAAGCCCUUCUGUGCAAUUCAAGAAGUCCCACUUCGUGAUAUCCAAUUUCUUCUUGAUAUGGGUCUCAUACACCCAGGGCCUGCAGACUUUUAACUCUACCCCUCACCAGACGAGCUACAACACAACGCCCUCAUCUGUCUCACCUUUAUGCACUUGAAGCCAUAAAGAAUGUCAGAAGGACAGUGUUUAGAUGCACAAACUACUGAUUUGAGGCAGGUGGACGAAAAAGAAGUUAUGAUCUUAACGUCUGAUUAGAAAUUAAUUUGCUCCACUUUUACAUUAUAUCCAAAGUCUUUUAUUACUAAUUGUGGAAUAAAAAGCCAUCUGAAUUCUUAGGGAUGCUUACGCUAUUCCCUGAUGUAAGCAAGUUGAAAACAUUUUCUGAUGAGUCUUCUCACCUGGGAUUCUCUUUGAUCUGAAUCGUUCCUUGGACUGAAUGCUGACUUUAAAACCUUCUGUGUUCAGAUGAUUCACACUGCCUUGAUCCCCUAAAUGAGGAAUCCAAAAACUAGCCAAAGUAAUCAUCCUCAGCAAACAAGG
rnacentral:lncRNA from 1 species